AUUGAACGCUGGCGGCAUGCUUUACACAUGCAAGUCGAACGGCAACAGGGUGCUUGCACCGCUGACGAGUGGCGAACGGGUGAGUAAUGCGCCGGAACGUGCCGAGUAGUGGGGGAUAACGCAGCGAAAGUUGUGCUAAUACCGCAUACGUACUGAGGUAGAAAGUGGGGGACCUUCGGGCCUCACGCUAUUCGAGCGGCCGACGUCUGAUUAGCUAGUAGGUGAGGUAAAGGCUCACCUAGGCGACGAUCAGUAGUGGGUCUGAGAGGAUGAUCCGCCACACUGGGACUGAGACAAGGCCCAGACUCCUACGGGAGGCAGCAGUGGGGAAUUUUGGACAAUGGGCGCAAGCCUGAUCCAGCCAUGCCGCGUGUCUGAAGAAGGCCUUCGGGUUGUAAAGGACUUUUGUCAGGGAGGAAAUCCUAGUGGCUAAUAACUACUGGGGAUGACAGUACCUGAAGAAUAAGCACCGGCUAACUACGUGCCAGCAGCCGCGGUAAUAC
rnacentral:rRNA from 1 species